rnacentral:rRNA from 1 species
CCUACGGGUGGCAGCAGUGGGGAAUAUUGCACAAUGGGGGAAACCCUGAUGCAGCGACGCCGCGUGAGUGAAGAAGUCAUUCGUGAUGUAAAGCUCUAUCAGCAGGGAAGAAAAUGACGGUACCUGACCAAGAAGCCCCGGCUAACUACGUGCCAGCAGCCGCGGUAAUACGUAGGGGGCAAGCGUUAUCCGGAUUUACUGGGUGUAAAGGGAGCGUAGACGGUUGCGCAAGUCUGGAGUGAAAGGCGGGGGCCCAACCCCCGGACUGCUCUGGAAACUGUGUGACUGGAGUGCAGGAGAGGUAAGUGGAAUUCCUAGUGUAGCGGUGAAAUGCGUAGAUAUUAGGAGGAACACCAGUGGCGAAGGCGGCUUACUGGACUGUAACUGACGUUGAGGCUCGAAAGCGUGGGGAGCAAACAGGAUUAGAUACCCUGGUAGUC